CCAUGGUUGCAGAACAUUAAGAAGGCUCCAAAUGUUAAUUUGGGUGAAACCGUUAAGGCCAGACUCCAACAAUUCUCUGUGAUGAACAAGUUCAAGAAGCAUGCACUUAGGGUUAUAGCUGAGCAUCUUUGGGUAGAAGAGGCUGCUGACAUAAAGGAUAUGUUUGAGAAGAUGGAUCUUAACAAGGAUCAAAUGCUUAGUUUCGAGGAGCUGAAGCUUGGUCUGCAUAAGUUUGGUCAACAAAUGCCUGAUGCAGAUGUUCAAACACUAAUGGAAGCGGCGGAUGCUGAUGGAAAUGGGUCCUUGAAUUAUGGAGAAUUUGUUACAUUAUUUGUUCAUCUAAGAAAGAUCGGAAAUGAUGAGCAUCUGCAUAAGGCAUUUGCAUACUUCGACCGGAACCAGAGCGAUUAUAUUGAAAUUGAUGAACUCCGUGAGUCAUUAGCUGAUGACCUUGGACAAAACCGUGAAGAGAUUAUCAAUGCCAUCAUCCGUGAUGUAGACACCGAUAAGGUUGGUACUUGUUGA